rnacentral:rRNA from 1 species
CGGACUGCAGGCUGCAACUCGCCUGCACGAAGUUGGAAUUGCUAGUAAUCGUGGAUCAGCAUGCCACGGUGAAUACGUUCCCGGGUCUUGUACACACCGCCCGUCACACCAUGGGAGCCGGUAAUACCCGAAGUCAGUAGUCUAACCGCAAGGAGGACGCUGCCGAAGGUAGGAAUGGCGACUGGGGUGAAGUCGUAACAAGGUACC